UGGGAAUGUAUUAUAAUAUUAAUAAAGACUCUUAAAAAAAAAAAAAAAAUGAACACUAAAAAAGAUUUUCAUUUAUAUAUGAUAGAAAAUAAGAAUAAAUAAAAUAAAAAAAUUAAAAUAAUAAAAUAGCUACAUUUGUGAUCACCCAUUAAAAAAAUAAAGAAAUGCAAACAAUUAGAACAAUUAUUUUAUUUUUUAUCAUAUAUUUUACCUUUUAUUUUGUCCAGUCAAAAGAUGGUAACAUAGAUAAUAUUGUAUUUAUAGAAGAAUCAGAUGAAUAUGGAGACGACUAUAUAGAUUUAACUAAUAAUGCACAAGCUAAAAAUGUCGAGCACAAGUACAAAAAUGCAGUAAUAAGAGAAAUGUAUUCCUGGGUAGGGGAUAAUGAAGAAUUAUUUUACCUUAAAAUAGCUAUUUUUAUUUGUGUUUUAAUUGCUGUGAUUAUUAAUGGUGUAAUAGGUAAAAAAACGAAUAGAAAAAUCGCUUUAUUUUGGCUAAGGUCAUGUAAAGAUAUUUUUUUAGAACAGUUUGCGAAAUUAGGACAUGACAAAUAUUUUUUAUUAGAGAAAUCAUAUGACAAUUAUGAGUUAUAUUGUAGUGGGCGCAAAAAUUGUAAUUAUUAUUCUGUUAAUUUAGAUUUAAGUAAAAGACAAUGUUUAUGGAGAUAUUAUUUUUUUAAUUAUUUUGUUAAACAGAAUGAUACAAUGAGUAUUGCUAUUAAUUUUGACAAGUUAGAUAAAGUUUUUUUUUGUGUUUAUAAGAAACAUCAAAAAAAAAAAAUUGAAACUCGUUUCCCAAAUUUAAAUAAAUAUACAAAAUUUAUGAAUAAGAAAGAAUUAAAGCAACUUUACGAAAUCAAAGCAGAUUCGUCGGAAAUAACAGAUUUAGUUUUGAGUGGUUACAUUUUAAAUUUUUUAAAUAAUAAUGAAAAAUAUAUAAAUUAUAUAUGUAUCAGUGAUAUCCCAUUUGACGAAAAUGAAGAAGAAACUAGUUCUGUGAAAAAAGAAGAAAUAAAAGAAGAUAAAAAGGAAGGGAAAAAAGAAGAAAAACAAGAAAACAUUAAUAAAAAAAAUUCAAAACAUAAAUUUUGCAUUUUAAAUUUAAUUAUACCACAAAACGAAAAUGAACUGCAAACGUUAAUCAAGUUUUCUAUUUAUAUGAUUGACGCUUGUGCUAGUAUUGAAUUGCCAGAUAAAGUUAGAGAACAUGUCAAAAAAUUAAGAAGUAUUAUUGAUAAAGAAGACGAAAAAAAAAAACAAGAGUUAAAGGAAUUACAAGAAAAAAAAAGGAUUCAAAAAAUACAAGAAGAAAAAGAAAAAAUUGAUAAAAUGCCAGCAGAACAACAAAGAAAAUAUGAAGAAAAAAAACAAAAAAAAAGU
rnacentral:lncRNA from 1 species